UACGGAGGGUGCAAGCGUUAUCCGGAAUCACUGGGUUUAAAGGGUGCGUAGGCGGCUUGGUAAGUCAGAGGUGAAAGCCCGCAGCUUAACUGCGGAACUGCCUUUGAUACUGCCGAGCUUGAAAGAGGUUGAGGUCAGCGGAACGUGACAUGUAGCGGUGAAAUGCAUAGAUAUGUCACAGAACACCAAUUGCGAAGGCAGCUGGCUGGGCCUACGUUGACGAUGAGGCACGAAAGAGUGGGGAGCGAACAGG
rnacentral:rRNA from 1 species